AGGCAGUUUGAUUUCAGAAGAUAUCGACUCAAAUUUGGAGAGAACAUUUUCUCCCAAAUCAAAAAAAAAAAGAAAAAAAAUCUCUGAAGAACUCUCAACCUUUGAAAGUGUUUCGAUCUCUUCCAAAUUUUGCAGAAACGGAUCCAAUUCAUUAAAAACGGAUUUUCGAUCGCGAUUUUGUUUCUAGGGUUUCGUUCUCUUUAGAUUCUGUCGCUAUUGGUUUGGGGUUUCUCGCUCUAUGUUAGGGCUUCGUGUGAAUCUUUCUUGUUCAAUUGAUUUUCUUGUUCCUUCAUAGUUCGCUUUGAUUUGGAGUUUCUUGCUCUCUGUUCGAUUGAUUGCCUUGUUCCUCUAUAGUCGAUUGACGUCUUGUUCCAUUACAGUUCGAUGACACUUUUGAUUUAGGGUUUCGUUCUCGUUAAAUUUGUUCCGAUUGAUUUGGGGUUUCUUGCUCCAUGUUAGGGUUUCGUGUGAAUCUUUAUUAUUCGAUUUCUGUCUAUUGUUUGAUUGAUUGAUUGUCUUGUUUUAUAACUUAAAACGAGAAAUUCUGGUAAAUUCUCGCUCUAUGUUAGGGUCUCGAACGUGGAAGCGUUUACAAUUUAGUCAUCUGUUAAAUCAAAUCAAACCACUAGGCGUUUCAUAGAGAUAAAUGUAAAUUGACCUUUGGUUUCUGGAUGAUCUGCUACGGAUGAGAGUUGUUAUAAUUAAUCUUUCGUCUAAUACACUUACUAGAGUAGUGAUGCAGUUACUAAGCCUUAGUAUAUGGCAUCAUAUCGUAGUAUAUUUUCUCUCCUCUUUUUUUUUUUUCUGAGUUUGGCAUUGGAUUUUUGUUGCUUGAGAUACUGUUAAGUGUUUGUCAUAUGUUAAGUGCUAAUAACGUCUACUAUUGUUGUUGGAACUUACAGGAGGAAUGCUUGCAAAGUUUGCAGAACCGUAUUGAUGUAGCUUAUGUCAGCACCAUACCUCUGCAUCAGAGGGGUAUCAGGUUGACUGACUUAGAGCCUGAACCUUUGGAGGUUCGUCCAGCUGAUCAGGAUAUUGCUGCGAAGGCAUGGAAGAAGACUCCAGCAUGGGUCCCGUCACUGAAAGGGUACGUACAAGUUGGAACUUGGAAAUUCUCCUGUUUAUAAGACCGAGAGGAAACUCAGUAAGGGUGGCUUUGGUCAAGUUUAUGUUGGCUGAAGGAUGAGUGGUGGCAGUGAUAGGAUCGUAGCAGAUGCAGUUGAGGUAGCUCUGAAACUUGAACACACCGAAAUAGUAAAGGAUGCAAUUUCGUCCCACCUAUACGAGUG